CCUACGGGUGGCAGCAGUGGGGAAUAUUGGACAAUGGGGGGAACCCUGAUCCAGCGACGCCGCGUGAGUGAAGAAGUAUUUCGGUAUGUAAAGCUCUAUCAGCCGGGGAGAAAAUGACGGUACCUGACUAAGAAGCCCCGGCUAACUACGUGCCAGCAGCCGCGGUAAUACGUAGGGGGCACGCGUUAACCGGAUUUACUGGGUGUAAAGGGAGCGUAGACGGUGCAGCAAGGCUGAUGUGAAAGUUCGGGGCCCAACCCCGGGACUGCAGUGGAAACUGUUGAACUGGAGUAGAGGAGAGGUAAGCGGAAUGCGUAGUGUAGCGGUGAAAUGCGUAGAUAUCAGGAGGAACACCAGUGGCGAAGGCGGCUUACUGGCCUGUAACUGACGUUGAGGCUCGAAAGCGUGGGUAGCAAACAGGAUUAGAUACCCCAGUAGUC
rnacentral:rRNA from 1 species